AAUGCUCUUCUUUCUGGAGAGAUUGUACUGCAGAAUGCGCAAUGUGCUUGCAUGAGGUUAUGAACGGGUUGUGUAACGUGCGUUGGCAAGAUCAGGCAUUUUAUUUUGUGCACAUGAAAUUGUGGAUUGCAGAAUCCGCGGGUUCUUCUGCUACUGCAGACGUGGAGCAAACGAAAUGUGAGAGUCCAUACGGAGCUCGGAAGUCUCCGUUGACAGCAGAAUUUGUGUCAGGGUCAUCGAAGCUCUUGGAAGGGUCUACCAUUGAUUCCGAUGGCCGGUUGCUGUAGCUCGAAGGACGCCCUUCUGAAGCUGGGUUAGUUCGCAAUCACCCUUGUUGUUAACGCUGUCUUGCUCAACGUGUAGAUCGAGAUUGCUCUGAAUGUUGCGCAUGCGCAGCAGUCUAGGAUGAAGGAUUGCAGACGUGUCAUAUGUGGAAGGUGAUGGGACGGAUCCAAGAGCAUCUUCAGGAAUAUGGGCAAGAUAGCAUGGUUCAAGAUUUGUCUAAAUCUUGUGUGGUUAGAGGGCUUGGGCAAUCGUUGUAGAGAGUUUUCAUUAGAUGGUGUGUGUAUGGUGAUGUGCAACAAUUGCAAGUAUUCUAUGUUUGCCAUGUAAAGUUUUAUGUGGAGGAUGUAAAGAUUGGCAAUUAAUGCAUGAUUACGAUGUUUAUAAUGCAUCAAUAGGUGCUUGGAAAAGCUACAUAAUAUUUGGAGCUGCACAUGAGAAGGAUAUGAUAUAAUACAAAUUCUUGCAAUUAUUGUUGGUGAAUAUUAGAUGCUAGUAAUAAUUGAAAAUAUGAGCAUAGAAAUAUAGGCCACAAGGUAGGAUAUUUACAAUGAGAUGUUACAUGAACUUUUUGCCAAUAUCAAGGCAUUAAAGUUUAAAUAGAUGAAUAAAUUUGAGUACUUCUUUUAGUUCAUUAUGAUUACAAUAUUAAAAAAAGGCAUGAAAGUAGAAGUAUUGUGAAUUCAUGAUCUAAAUCUACACAUAAUUUAUAAAUUAUAUUUGAAUUCAUGAUCCGUUAGGUUACUGACGGAUGUAAAUUAUAAUUUGAAUUCAUGAUCCAAAUCU
rnacentral:lncRNA from 1 species